rnacentral:hammerhead_ribozyme from 1 species
ACACUGCUGAUAAGUCCCAUAAUAGGACGAAACGGCCAUCCGGUAU